rnacentral:tRNA from 1 species
GCCGGAGUAGCUCAGCUGGUAGAGCAGGGCACUUGUAAUGCCAAGGUCGUAGGUUCGAUCCCUAUCUCCGGCACCA